AAUACUACAAAGAAUGGGCUGAGUGUGGGCUGAAAUCGCAGUGCUUUGGGAGGCUGAGGUGGGAGGAUCACAUGAGCCGGGGAGGUCGAGGCUGCAGAGGUGGGAGGAUCACAUGAGCCUGGGAGGUCGAGGCUGCUGAGGUGGGAGGAUCACAUGAGCCGGGGAGGUCGAGGCUGCUGAGGUGGGAGGAUCACAUGAGCCGGGGAGGUCGAGGCUGCAGAGGUGGGAGGAUCACAUGAGCCGGGGAGGUCGAGGCUGCAGCGAGCUGUGGUUGCACCACUGCACUUCAGCCUGGGCCACAGAGUCAUACCUUGCCUCUAAGAAAA
rnacentral:lncRNA from 1 species